rnacentral:rRNA from 2 species
ACGGGAGGCAGCAGUGGGGGAUAUUGCACAAUGGGGGAAACCCUGAUGCAGCGACGCCGCGUGAGUGAAGAAGUAUUUCGGUAUGUAAAGCUCUAUCAGCAGGGAAGAAAAUGACGGUACCUGACUAAGAAGCCCCGGCUAACUACGUGCCAGCAGCCGCGGUAAUACGUAGGGGGCAAGCGUUAUCCGGAUUUACUGGGUGUAAAGGGAGCGUAGACGGCUAAGCAAGUCUGAUGUGAAAGGUGAGGGCUCAACUCUUAAACUGCAUUGGAAACUGUUUGGCUGGAGUAUCGGAGAGGUAAGCGGAAUUCCUAGUGUAGCGGUGAAAUGCGUAGAUAUUAGGAGGAACACCAGUGGCGAAGGCGGCUUACUGGACGAUAACUGACGUUGAGGCUCGAAAGCGUGGGGAGCAAACAGGAUUAGAUACCCUGGUA